GACGAACGCUGGCGGCGUGCCUAAUACAUGCAAGUCGAACGCAGUGGGGACGGGUGAGUACCACGUGGGUAACCUCCCAUCAGAGGGGAUAACACUUGGAAACAGGUGCUAAACCGAUACUGAUGGAUGGACCCGAGGGGCAUUAGCUAGUUGGUGUGGUAACGGCUCACCAAGGCCACGAUGCAUAGCCGAACUGAGAGGGGGAUCGGCCACACUGGGACUGAGACACGGCCCAGACUCCUACGGGAGGCAGCAGUAGGGAAUCUUCGGCAAUGGACGAAAGUCUGACCGAGCAACGCCGCGUGAGUGAAGAAGGUUUUCGGAUCGUAAAACUCUGUUGUUAGAGAAGCGGUAUCUAACCAGAAAGCCACGGCUAACUACGUGCCAGCAGCCGCGGUAAUUC
rnacentral:rRNA from 1 species